rnacentral:rRNA from 1 species
CCGUACCGANCUUGCUUCACCGAAAAUNAAGAGUAGCGAACGGGUGAGUAACGCGUGGGUAACCUACCUAUCAGCGGGGGAUAACUAUUGGAAACGAUAGCUAAUACCGCAUAACAAUUUUGGAUGCAUAUUCGACAUUUGAAAGUACCAAAUGGUACACUGAGAGGGACACCCGCGUGGUAUUAGCUAGUUGGUAGUGUAAUGGACUACCAAGGCGAUGAUACAUAGGGGACCUGAAAGGGUGAUCGGCCACAUUGGGACUGAGACACGGCCCAAACUCCUACGGGAGGCAGCAGUAGGGAAUCUUCGGCAAUGGACCCAAGUCUGACCGAGCAACGCCGCGUGAAAGAAGAAGGUUUUCGGAUCGUAAAACUCUGUUGUUAGAGAAGAACGUUGCAUAGAGUGGAACCUUAUGCAAUUGACGGUAUCUAACCAGAAAGGGACGGCUAACUACGUGCCAGCAGCCGCGGUAAUACGUAGGUCCCGAGCGUUGUCCGGAUUANUUGGGCCGUAAAGCGAGCGCAGGUGGUUNAAUAAAUCUGAUGUAAAGGCAGUGGCUCAACCAUUGUGUGCAUUGAAACUGUUAGACUUGAGUGCGGUANAGGAGAGUGNANUNCAUG